CCCUUAGAUGUUCUGGGCCGCACGCGCGCUACACUGAUGCAAGCAAACAGGUAUCCCUGAGCCGAAAGGCUUUGGUAAUCUGCAAAACUGCAUCGUGAUGGGGAUUGACGAUUGCAAUUUUUCGUCAUGAACGAGGAAUUCCUAGUAAACGCAAGUCAUCAACUUGCAUUGAUUACGUCCCUGCCCUUUGUACACACCGCCCGUCGCUCCUACCGAUUGAAUGUUCCGGUGAGCACUCUGGAGUAAUGGCAUCGUCUAGCAAUAGUCCUUGCCAAUUGCGAAACUGUGCAAACCUUAACAUUUAGAGGAAGGAGAAGUCGUAACA
rnacentral:rRNA from 1 species